AUGCGUUCCAUUAGUUAGUUGGCGGGGUAACGGCCCACCAAGACAACGAUGGAUAGGGGUUCUGAGAGGAAGGUCCCCCACAUUGGAACUGAGACACGGUCCAAACUCCUACGGGAGGCAGCAGUGAGGAAUAUUGGUCAAUGGACGAGAGUCUGAACCAGCCAAGUAGCGUGAAGGAUGACUGCCCUAUGGGUUGUAAACUUCUUUUAUAUGGGAAUAAAACGUUCCACGUGUGGGAUUUUGUAUGUACCAUAUGAAUAAGGAUCGGCUAACUCCGUGCCAGCAGCCGCGGUAAUACGGAGGAUCCGAGCGUUAUCCGGAUUUAUUGGGUUUAAAGGGAGCGUAGGUGGAUUGUUAAGUCAGUUGUGAAAGUUUGCGGCUCAACCGUAAAAUUGCAGUUGAAACUGGCAGUCUUGAGUACAGUAGAGGUGGGCGGAAUUCGUGGUGUAGCGGUGAAAUGCUUAGAUAUCACGAAGAACUCCGAUUGCGAAGGCAGUUCACUGGACUGCAACUGACACUGAGGCUCGAAAGUGUGGGUAUCAAACAGGAUUAGAUACCCUGGUAGUCCACACAGUAAACGAUGAAUACUCGCUGUUUGCGAUAUACAGCAAGCGGC
rnacentral:rRNA from 1 species